UGGGGGAUAUUGCACAAUGGGCGAAAGCCUGAUGCAGCGACGCCGCGUGGGGGAUGAAGGCCUUCGGGUUGUAAACUUCUUUUGCUCUGAACAAGGCGCACCAUGGGGUGUGUUGAGUGUAGGGGUUGAUUAGCGCCGGCUAACUACGUGCCAGCAGCCGCGGUAAUACGUAGGGCGCGAGCGUUGUCCGGAAUUAUUGGGCGUAAAGGGCUUGUAGGUGGCUGGUUGCGUCUGUCGUGAAAGCUCAUGGCUUAACUGUGGGUUUGCGGUGGGUACGGGCUGGAUUGAGUGCAGUAGGGGAGGCUGGAAUUCCUGGUGUAGCGGUGGAAUGCGAAGAUAUCAGGAGGAAUACCGGUGGCGAAGGCGGGUCUCUGGGCUGUUACUGACACUGAGGAGCGAAAGCAUGGGGAGCGAACAGG
rnacentral:rRNA from 1 species